GAUCCUGGCUCAGGAUGAACGCUAGCUACAGGCUUAACACAUGCAAGUCGAGGGGCAGCAUGGUCUUAGCUUGCUAAGGCCGAUGGCGACCGGCGCACGGGUGAGUAACGCGUAUCCAACCUGCCUUACACUUUUGGACAGCCUUCUGAAAGGGAGAUUAAUACAAGAUGUUAUCAUGAGUAAGCAUUUUCGCAUGAUUAAAGGUUUACCGGUGUAAGAUGGGGAUGUGUUCCA
rnacentral:rRNA from 1 species